rnacentral:rRNA from 1 species
ACGGAAGGCAGCAGUGAGGAAUAUUGGUCAAUGGGCGGAAGCCUGAACCAGCCAUGCCGCGUGAAGGAAGAAGGCCCUAUGGGUCGUAAACAUCUUUUGACGGGGAGCAAUAAGGUCUACGUGUAGGCCGAUGAGAGUACUCGUCGAAUAAGCAUCGGCUAACUCCGUGCCAGCAGCCGCGGUAAUACGGAGGAUGCAAGCGUUAUCCGGAUUUAUUGGGUUUAAAGGGUGCGUAGGCUGUUCUUCAAGUCAGGGGUGAAAUGCCCGGGCUCAACCCGGGAACUGCCUUUGAUACUGAGGGGCUUGAAUACUGUUGCCGUGGGAGGAAUGAGUAGUGUAGCGGUGAAAUGCAUAGAUAUUACUCAGAACACCGAUUGCGAAGGCAUCUCACGAAGCAGGGAUUGACGCUGAGGCACGAAAGCGUGGGGAUCAAACAGGAUUAGAUACCCUGGUA